UACGUAGGUGGCAAGCGUUGUCCGGAUUUACUGGGCGUAAAGGGCGUGCAGGCGGUUUGUUAAGUGCAGGGUGAAAGCUCCCGGCUCAACUGGGAGAGGUCCUUGCAUACUGGCAAACUCGAGGGAGGCAGAGGAAAGUGGAAUUCCCGGUGUAGUGGUGAUAUGCGUAGAUAUCUGGAGGAAUACCGGUGGCGAAGGCGGCAUCCUGGACCGGCAUUGACGCUGAGGAGCGAAAGCCAGGGGAGCAAAGCGGG
rnacentral:rRNA from 1 species